ensembl:lncRNA
AGGACAUUGGAGAAGUCAGUGUCUUCCCCAGUGACCUAAAAAUGCUUUCAGCUCUCAGGAACUUGUCAAGGACAAGAGAAGAAAAGAGAGGCACAUAGCAACACUAUGACAAAAGCUGGGAGGAAUGAAGUUGCCAUGUUGAAGGGUGGCCUUCAGGCUUUUGGACUGUGGUGCUGGAGAAGACUCUUGAGAGUCCAUUGGACUGCAAGGAGAUCAAACCAGCCAAAUAUAAAGGAAAUCAACCCUGAAUAUUCACUGGAGGAACUGAUGCUGAAGCUGAAGCUCCAAUAUUUGGCCACCUGCAGCCAUGAAAUUAAAA